ensembl:lncRNA
AUGGACAGCACGCUUGAGAAGGGGUGCCUUGAUGCUGCCUCUUCUGCAGGGCCCAGAGGCUGCCUGAGGCCUGGUCAGGGUAAAUGUACCAUCAGCUUCCCAAGUGACCAUUAUGCUAGAGCCACUGUUGCCCAGCAACAUAUGCCUGACUUCUGGAGAUGCUUACGGCAGGCUGGCACCCUAGUGCCCCUGGCAGCAUUUCCUGUCCUUUGGCAAGGAAUCAUAGAAUCACAUGAAUGUAUCAGAAUGCAUCAGCUCUUCAUGGAAAUCACCUUCUACAAAAGCUUGGUUAACUCAGUAUGGCAGGGACUGUGGCUACUGUACCUUAAAAAAAAAAAAAAGCCAGAAUAAAGGACACUUGAUUAUUGGUUCCUGAGUCUACUUUCUGUCAGACUUUCUCUGACAGAUGGGGAAAUCCCCCAUCUUCAUUGAUCUAGACAGUCAGUGUCAAUUGGCAAAUGAACCUGCAAGAGCCAUUGCUAAUGUUUAUUAGAUCCCCAGGCUUGUGCCUGUUCAUAAAUAAAAACAAUUGAUCUGUAUUUUUGUUCUAGACAGUAAGUAUGUGAUUAAGCUCUCAUCUGUGUGGUCACUUCCCACUUGCCCAAUAUCUGCAACUAGCGAAGAGGAAGGGUCAAUUUAGUUCACCUCCAAGCCAUAGGAUUGUGUAUAUCUUAUGGCACAAAUAUAUAUGCUUAUAAGCAAUUUGGCCAAAAAUGCCCUGUGUGUGUGGUGACACAACAUCGCAUCUGGAAGAGGUGUUGAAUAUAGGCUGCUGUGGAUGGAGAGUGAUGUUUAAUUUGCUCUUUUGCUUUAAGCAGAAGAGAAUAACUGAAAACCAGUCCCUAAAACUUCAAAUUUCCAGACUGGUGUACAAAAUAUCUCUUAGCUGUUACAUCACAAUGCCUUGUUUUCAGUGAAUAAGAACAUUGUUAAACUUGUUGCUUUAUUGUCUUGCUAUUCCUCAGGGCACACUGGGCACAGGAAAGGAAAAGUUAUAAGACACAAAAGAAAUUGUAGUCAUUAUUCAACUACGAUACUCUUUCAAGAGUGACAUGAAUAUGACAUGAGUUUAGCCAGUGGGUUUCUAGGAACAUCUGCUUCUCAGUGUGAGUUAACGUUUUAACAUCAUCUUAAUGAACUGAUAUCUGAAAUUAAGCUGGAAAAUCAGAUUUCCAUUUAAAAAGCUGAAACCAAUUUGUUUGCAGGGAUAAUAGAAGUCAAAUUCAUUACAUGAAUAAGCAUCGUAUAUAAGCACUAUCAAAUUGCUGAUAGCCUGGGUAAAGUUACCUUUUUACUGUUCACUGCAAAGAACUAUAGAGGGAAAAAUGUGAUGUGUAAAUUAUACUCCAAACUGAUUCCAGCUUGCAGAAGCAUCACAUUUGGUCAAUUAGAUCCUGCAUUUUGGCUUUGUGCCUUUAAACAAAUAUAUCAUUACUGAAGAUAAAUGCUUAUAAGCAGCUUUAUUUCUCUCACGAUAACCUACUUAUUAGCUUGCAGUAAGCAAAGAAAAUCCUCCAUGCCAGCAGAUUGUCUUUGUGUGAUCAAGCUCUUUCAUGAGACGUCAGGUGUAUGUGCUUCUUGGGCAACUUAAUUUAUCAGCACACAGCUGCAGAAAUAUUCCUGCCAGAACUAAGAUCAGUGGGCAACUGCCCCAUAGAAAAGAAGUCUCUGUUGAUGCUGGCACACAGAGUGACUAGGGGCUGGUAACAGAAGUGGUACAGCUACACAUAAGAAAGAGCAGUAGUUUUGUCAGCCUUUUGGUGGGGUCCUUAUCUUCCUGGGAAGCUGUGAGGGUGAUGAGAAGUGGAGAAGUAAGCAGGAUGUUUCUCUAUUCGUUUAUUGGAAAGUAUAAACCAAUGGGUUGUAUAUGUGGCAGUUAAAGGUCAGUCUCAUUGAGAAUGACAUUAAGAAAAUAUAAAUAGAUGCUGUUUUUCUCUCUUUCAUGUCAAAACCUGUUGGUGAGACUAAAACUUGCAUAUUAAUAAUCUUUUUUGGGUGGAAUUUUAUUGGAUAAGCCAUUGAAAAAUGGCCAGCAAAAUUUGACAUAGAAAAUCAAGGGAAGAAUGUAACUCAACAGCUAGUUGUGACUUUUUGUUUAAAAAUGAACAAAGAAACAAAAAAUAACAUUUUAUUUUUUAACCUAGCAUUUUUAUUUUUUAACUUAACAUUUUUAUUUUUUAACCUAACAUUUGCGGAAUACAUGCUUCAGUUUCCUUUAAGAUAGCUUGUGACCCAUUUGCAAUUGAGAUAAAAUCUAAAAGCCAGCAUGGACUACUUUUGCAAGAGAUUAUAUAGACAGUGUUCUUCUUGUGCUGAGGCUGUAAGAGUGUUGCUGAAAACUGGUACUAAAAAGCAGGGAGUCUUCAGUGAUUUUAAAUUAAUUCUCUAUACUCGUGCUUUCCUCUUUCACCAGUAUGAGACAGCAUUUUGUCUACUGGUAUUUAAACUGAUUCUCAAACAAGUAAACCUUCUGUGAGUGCUCUUUGUAUGAUAUAAACCUGAUGCAUAUCAUGGUAAAUUUUUAAGUCAAUUAAGUGCACACAGUGGAGAGUAACCACAUGAAUGUGGCUCAAGUUGCUGCUUGUCAUCCAAGUCUCUUGCAAGGAAGGUAUCUUACUGUGAAACUGUGUGGAAGAGUAAGCUUUUUUAUAUUUAGACUGAGAAGUUUGCACGGAUUUAAUUCACUUGAGGUAAACUUCUGCAACUUCUAUGUACAGACAAGGUCUUUGUGACUGCGGAGAGGCAUGUUGGUAUUGGAGUCUUCAAUAAGGAACUUGUGUUGAUCUUCAGGGUUGGCAUUUUCCAUACAAAUCUGUCUCCUUUCAUAGUUGCUUUUGUCUGCUGGUAACAUGAAGCUGCAGAGAAAUGGGAGGUAUGUGCCAUGGAUGCAGAGGCUCAGAUAACUGACCUACUUCAACCCCUUUCAGGAGAAGGCUGAUACGAGAUGGGUGAAUGAGGUUUUAUGCAUAUCCACCAAUUGCUGCUGACCUCAUGUCAAGAAAAGCAUCUCCAUGUCUUGCUGUAAGCCACAGUGGAGUCGGCAAAUGGCUACAGCUAUUCCUGGUCCUGCAUCAGGCUUCUUGCAGUAGCUUGGACUGUUGUUUCUAGCUGUUU